rnacentral:rRNA from 1 species
GACGAACGCUGGCGGCGUGCCUAAUACAUGCAAGUCGAGCGCAGGAAAUCGACGGAACCCUUCGGGGGGAAGUCGACGGAAUGAGCGGCGGACGGGUGAGUAACACGUAAAGAACCUGCCCUCAGGUCUGGGAUAACCACGAGAAAUCGGGGCUAAUACCGGAUGGGUCAUCGGACCGCAUGGUCCGAGGAUGAAAGGCGCUUCGGCGUCGCCUGGGGAUGGCUUUGCGGUGCAUUAGCUAGUUGGUGGGGUAAUGGCCCACCAAGGCGACGAUGCAUAGCCGACCUGAGAGGGUGAUCGGCCACACUGGGACUGAGACACGGCCCAGACUCCUACGGGAGGCAGCAGUAGGGAAUCUUCGACAAUGGACGAAAGUCUGAUGGAGCAACGCCGCGUGAACGAUGAAGGCCUUCGGGUCGUAAAGUUCUGUUGUAAGGGAAGAACAAGUGCCGCAGGCAAUGGCGGCACCUUGACGGUACCUUGCGAGAAAGCCGCGGCUAACUACGUGCCAGCCGCCGCCGUAACAC